rnacentral:rRNA from 1 species
UACAGAGGGGGCAAGCGUUGUUCGGAAUUAUUGGGCGUAAAGGGUGCGUAGGCGGCGCGGUAAGUCGGGUGUGAAAUUUCGGAGCUUAACUCCGAAACUGCAUUCGAUACUGCCGUGCUUGAGGACUGGAGAGGAGACUGGAAUUUACGGUGUAGCGGUGAAAUGCGUAGAUAUCGUAAGGAAGACCAGUGGCGAAGGCGGGUCUCUGGACAGUUCCUGACGCUGAGGCACGAAGGCCAGGGGAGCAAACGGG